rnacentral:lncRNA from 1 species
GCCAGGACCUCAAGUCUAGUGUACUCGAAUGUGGAUCCACGAUUUUCUUUAGAUUUUUCCUUGAGAAUCUUGAUUUGCUCAAGUGACAGAUUCAGGAUUGCGGUACAAAUGGAUUCGGAAUUUUGAGUAGGAGUAUUCAUUGAAGGAGGUGGGUCGUAUUCAAUGUGAUGGAAUCUAGGAGAAUUUGGAACCCCAAAAUCUAGUACGGUUCGAUCAAAGAAAGGUGGAAUGCUAAUAGGAACACCACGUGUCAUCUCAGCCCAUGAGUUGACGAAAUGGUACGUUGAAGCUCCAUCUGCUAAAAUAUGAUGAAAUCUAGUCGCAAGACAAACGCCUCCGCAUUUGAAACGAGUUACCUACUCAACACACACAGCACAGCAUUACUUAAUAAAACCAAGUCUCAUGAAUCAAUUGAUCAGGGGAUUAAAUAUUCGUCGUACCUGUGUCAUCAUGAGUGGAUAAGAAGAAUUAUCUUUCGUCUCAUCAAAAGUUGGAAGCAACGACAAAAGCUUGGAGCCUUCGGCGAAGUCACCAAAAUCAUCAAUAACACAACUUGUUUCCGCCUCCACAAACAAAACCCCCUCUCCGUUACAUAGUAUGUCGGUUCUGCCACUUUCAUCACUCGGCAACCUUCCAGCCACGGGUCGAAACGGCACAAGAAUCUUUUUCAGAGACUCCUUCAGCAAACCAGCAUCAAAGAAAUUAGGGGAAGAAUAAUUUGGCCGUCGAUAAAAGAAUACCAGGGGGACGUAAUUGGAUGGCGCAAUCAAGUCCAAGUCAGAAUUUCGUAGGCGUUGCUUGGGCGUUUCUUGGGCAGGCCGUAUCAUUGUUGACUUCUGUACAUGAAUUUCCAUUGUGCUAGCCGUGGCGACUUGGCUGAUUAGAACGGCAGCGGCAGACGGCGGUUAAUCUUCUCUGCUCUAGCAGCUUUCGUGUGUUGUGUCGGCAGGCUGCGUUUAGGAUUUUCUUUAAAAAAAAAAAGGAAAGGUUAUGAAACUUACACGCCUCUGACUCUGUUUUUGUCUCAGUUUCAAAAUAAAAAAUUCUAUUUUUGUCUUUUUUUUUUUAUAAUUAAAAAAUGGAUCCGAAUACGUGGCAAAUAUCAGAUGCUGAUGAUCUGCAUCCAACUUUUUUUUAAAUUUAAUAAUGCACAUAUCAUUAGAAAAACAGUAGGGCUAUUUGAACGCUAAAAUCUACUUUAAACAUUCGUUUAGUCCGCGCGCUUAAUUAAUAAUCUCAAAAAUGUUAGUUUUUAUUUGUAACACUCUUUUAAAUUUUAUAUUGUCCUCAUUUCUUUAAUUACCUUGUUUCUUCUUUAUACCAAAUGAAAUAUUCAUCAUCACAAACAAAAUAUCUAACUUUUUUUUCCAUUUUUAUUCACUUUUCUUUUCUGUUCAUAAUAUGGUUUGAUAUGUAUUUGUUCAGUGGCAGAUCUAAAAAAAUAAUUUACCGAAGCCUAGAUUACAUAAUAGUAAAAUUUUAAAACUAAAACUUUGAAUAUAUAAAAUAUUUAUUAAUAUAUUUAUAAUUGUUCUUGACACAUUUUCAAGAAUAGAAAAAUAUUUGUGGUGAUGACCUAUCAUUAUUUUUAAUUAUAAUGUAGGCUUUUAUAAUUUUAAAAGUUAAAGUUUAAAUUUUGUGAAUUUAUAAAUGUAUAAGGUCAAUUUUAAUAGAUUUAUUGGGGACUAAUUAGAAAUCUUAAAUAUUUUUUCUUUUAUUCUUAGAAUUUUUUUUUUGGCCAGCGAGGGCUACAACCCCCACUGGUCACAUACUGCACCCGCCCCUGUAUUUGUUCUUCUCUUAUUGCCGCAAUUUAAUUGUUUUUCAAACCCAUAAAAGCAUGCAAAUCGGAGAGCAAAUUUAAAACAAAAUCCUUUGAUUUACUUGCGUUUUCUUAUGUUGGAGUGGUGCAAUUUGUUGUUCUUCCUCCACCUCUAUUUUUAAUUCCUUUUGUUUCAGUUAUAAAGUUGAUGUGGUUUAUUGUAAAUAAAAUAUGAUGUUGGACAAAAAUUUGUUAUACUAUAUUUUAUUAAAAUUGUCCUUAAUAGUAAAUUACAUUAAGGUUAAUUUAGUAAUAUAAAUAAUUAUUAAAAUGUGAGUGUCCAAAGUAAAUUUUAGAGUGCAUAUAACCCCACCCUUCAAAAAAGGACCGGGUGCAGAUUUCGUGGAUCCAGACCUAAUGAAUAGAGAAAAAUGAAGUAAGUACCAGAAAUAAAAAAUUAAGAAAAUGAAAUAAUACUUGUGAACAGGGAUUCUUAUUUUCUUUCUUAAACAAGCAAGUAAAUAUGGAAGUGACCAAACGGUUGUGGCUCAGUUGGCGACGCAGGCUGGGUAAGUGGGAAGAGUUCUCGAGUUCGAUCCCCACUAAACAAACCAUUUGGGAGGGGUAAAGAGCCUUAACUGUGAUUACACCCCGAAUCCGGAUUAGUCGGGGCCCAAUGCAGUUGCCGGAAAUCGGGUGGUUUAAACCAAAAAAAAAAACAAAAAAUAUGGAAGUGAGAGGAUUCCGAACUCCCCGCUUCUUUUAAAAUCUUGAGCCAACUACCAUUGAUUGAGGGUUCUGAUCCCAUGUACAAACUAGCAGGAUAGAUAAAAAUAUAUAUUUAUAGGGUUGUUACAGAGUCAUUGAGAUGAUCGAGGUCACAUCAUUAUUUGCUUACACACAUCAGUUGGAGUAAGAGUAGUUAGGGAUUUGAGUAGAUUUGUUCUCAAAAGCAUAUUUUUCGUUUUAACACAUUAUGACCAACCUUUUUCUUCUGUCUUUUGCCUUCCAUUAUCUGCCUCUCAUCUAUCAUUUUAACUUUAAUUUGAAGGAAUACCAAGAAAACGAGGAUUUUCUUUUUCAAAAGAAAAUAAAGAACUGUGGAAUAUUUUCGUUUUCUAAUUAGAGAUGAUUGAACAGAAACCUGGAUAUACUUGGUAAGUGGGAACUUCAUGUAAUAAGUUCUUAGUUUAUUUAACUAAUAAUUAUCAUGCCACUCGCCCUGCGCAAUGUGGGGGUAUUUCCUUCCUUAAUUAUAUUGUAUAAAUGAGUGAAGGUAAUAUUCUCUCUUAUCCAAGAGUAAGUGGAGUAGACAUCUUUCGAAUAUUAAUGUGGAUUAAAAUCUAGGCAAAGCUCCGUAGGCAUUGAUGUAAGUCGGUAGACAUCCCUCGAAUAUUAGUGAUGAUUAAAAUCUGGGCAGAGCUCUGUAGGCAUUGAUGUAAGUCGAUUCCAGUAAUAGUCUGAUUUGUAAAUAUCAGUUAUAGUCUCAUAUAAUAUCAGUUGUAGUUUGAGCAAUAGUCUCAUAUAAUAAAAAAAAAAAACUAAUAAUGAUCAUAAUUUUAUAUUUAUAUUAAAUUUUAAAUGUAAUAAUUUCUUAGUUUAUUAACUUAUUUGCUUAUACAUGACUUGUGAUGGGCUUCGUUUAUGUCCAGCCUCGAUAGCUUUAGCUUUGUAACUCUUUAGUUCUUGCCUAUAUGUCUUUUCAUGGUUUAGCUAUGGCUAGCAUUUGCUCUUUCUUCUCUCUUGCACUAUUUUCACUUUCUUUUAGUUAAUAAAUUUUCCCACCUCACUUAGUAGAGGUUCCAUUAUAAAGAAAUGAAAAUUACUUGUUUACUUGUGUGAUUUGUUAUGGGCUCGGUAGAUUUAGCUUCGUAACUCUUUGUUUUCUCAUCUAAUGGUUUUGAAUGUUAAUAUUAUCUCUAUUCGCAUAUCUAUAUUCUCAAAUUCACAAGCACCUGCUAAUAAAAAUGAAAGUGCUCCAAGUAAUUCCAGCCACCCAAAAAAGGAAAGGAGAACCAAGGACAAAACAUUUCACAAUAUGUGCUCAAAAAUAGGAGCAACGACGGAGUCCAUUUCAACCAUGGUACCCAAAUUAGAUGGGUUGAUUAGUGUACUUUCUACUACUAAUAAGUAGUUAUCUGAUUUACAAGUUAAGUUGUAUGAUAAAAUGCGUAAGAUUGUUGGCUUAAGUGAGAAAGAAAUAUUUGAUGCGAUUGAUAUUAUGGCCACCAAACAUGAUGUGCUACGUGGGUUCUUCAACUUGCCCAAUGAGCUGGAAAAAGGGAUAUAUCCUUUCAAAAAUUGGUCGUGAUUCAUGAGAUGUAAUCUUCUAUCAUUUUGGAAAUUGAAAUUGUGUUUUGUCAAGUAAGCACACCAUUUUGGAACAUUGGAAACGUGUGUUUUUUUUUUUUUGGAAAUUUAGACUUGUGGUGCUAUGUAAAAUAUUUUGGGCUUAAAUAUUUGUAAUAGGAUGAACUACAGACUCUUAUGUUUUUGCUAUAGACGCAUGUAGUUUUUUUUUUUUUUUUGUCUGAAAUCUGAAUAAAUCUAAAUUAGUUAAAAUUGUGAAUAGAACUGAAUGUCUGAAGCUGAAUGAUAUGUUUCUUUUUUUGUCUGAAUCGCUAAAAAUAAAUAUUAAUUUUUUUAAUCUUAAAAAAUCUAAAAACUAAUAUUUUUUACAUUUAUGCCCUUAUAAAUUAUAAAUGUUAGCAAAUAAUAAACAUCUCAAAAAAUAUAAUAACAUAAAUCAUAUUCAAUUGAAUGCAACUCUUUAAUAUUCUAUGUUAUAUAUGUUAAACAAUUUUAUUAUAGUUUAUGAUGUUUUUAAAUGAAAAAUAUUCAUAGAAAAUUAUGAAGAUAAAUAAUGCUAAUGUGAAGAAAAUAAAAAAAAAAAUAAUUAUAAUCUACCACUAUAUAUUAUCACAAGUUAUAUAGAGAUGGCUAAUAUUGCUAAUUAUUAAAUUUAAUUCACGUAAGGAUUAAAAAUUAAUUAAUUAGAUAAGGAUAUUUUAGAGAAUAUCUUUUAACGAUGUUAUUCAGACUUUUUAGAUUAAGUAAAAAGCUAAAAAAAUAGCUUAAUAACUGAAAAUUUUCAUUAAGUUGAAAAAACAAAUAAACUUAAUACUUAACUGAUUAAAAUUAGUCAAUUAAUUCAUUAAGUUAAAAAAAAAGGGUCUUGCAUCCUCAAUGGUAAAGUUGUUUAUGACUUUUGCUCAAAGAAGUGUUGUCUUUUUUAUUUUUUCUUUGGUUUUUCCUCAUGUAACUGGUGAUGAUCAAUUUCUUUCUUAACUCACACCAAAUUUAUCAGGAGAUUGUCAUAUAUAUUAUCAAUUGUUGUCUUUAAUCAUCCUGUACUUUUAAGGCUCACGUGCCUAGAAUUUUUAACUCAGCCCAGCAUGCAUACGUGUCAUGUUGUGCUGCAUGCCCUACCAAAAUAUGCUCAUGUCUUGCCGUGUUGUAUCGACAUGCACCGUGUCCGUACCGUGCCGCAUGUUGCCUGGCCAUUGGCCAUCUCUAAUUAAGAACAAUAAAUUUUGCUGUAAAUUUUUUUUUUCAGAUAUUGGUGACAAAAUAAUGAAAGUGGGCCAAUUUAUUUAAUCACAUGAGUUGGACUAUUGACAUCCUCCAUGAGUUGGACUAUUGACAUCCUCCAAAUAACUCUUGAAAUUCCUUUUCUUCUUUCUGCCCCAUUAAAAUUAUUUAAAAAUUAAAAUGUUCUUAUACCCCUAUUUUAAUUCUAAAAAUAGUCCUAAUUUCUUAUUCAAUAAAUACCUAAAAUGUUUGCACCUAUCUUCUCUUUCUCUUGAUAAGUUUAUAUCUCUUUCUCUCUCUCAUUUGCUUACUUCUCUCUAUUUCUCUUUUGUCGUGAACUCUCUUCCACCAUCAACUUUUUUUUUUUUUUCUGUUUGUAAGUUUAUGGUGUUUCUAAUAGAGAAAGUUUAUGGUGUACCUCGCCCCAUUGUGUAACUAUGUGAGGGGCUAAAAUAUCAUUGCAUAAUGUCGCAUAUUUGGCUUAAUGAUACGACUCCACGUAGUUUCAUUUUUUCAUUUUGUAAAGUGGCUAGGUUCCUUCUUUGGUCCUUCGGCUUUGAUACUGUUUAUCUAUCUACUCGUUACUUCAUUUUGAUUUUCCAAAGUUGUUGGGUUUGUAAAUGUGUCACAUUUUCAUUACCGAGAAUAAUAUUUGGAUUUUUUUUAAAUAAGUGUUAAACACAAUGCCUAUUCAACGAAUCUAACAAUUGUUUUAAAAAAAAAUUAAAAUUUCAUAUGGGAGAAAUUCUAAAAUAUAUCAAAGAUGUCAUGAAAAUUUAAAAAAAAAAAUCUCUUAAUAACAUCUGAAUUAUAAUGCAAGGGACUUUAGCGUUUUUGUUUGGCUAGUUGACUAUUCCCAACAUACUCUAAAGUUCUUGAGGGUAUGGUAGCUGGAAGAUCGAGUUGUUAUAGGAACUUUUGGUAAUGGUAUCGCGUAGUGAGCUAUUAUAUUAAAGAAGAAAACAAUCUCAUUCUGUGUACAUCACUAAUAAUAUAUUACUAAUUAAAGAGCUAACAAAAUAUGAAAUUAAAAAAGAAAAAAACUUUUAUCAAGGAUGACAAAAGUGGAAGGUCAAAACCAUAAUGAGCCGAAGACACACAAUAUCUACAGCCAUCAACAGCUAGUUGAGUCACCCGAACCAGGGAUCCCUUGAUCAUUUUCUCUCAGACUUGGUUUAUCACAUUGAUUGAUCACUGACAUAUCAAUAUCUAGAUCUUGCAUUCUUGGGGUGCUGAAAGAUCUCAUAAAACAACUUCUUGAAGGGCUGCACGUGAUGGGUUUCCAAGUUUAUAAACACUGUCAAGCUCCCAUCAUUGCUUGGACUUGGAUAAAUAUGCGCUACCCCUUCGAAAUAUGUAUUAACCAACCUUGAAAACAUUGGCGGCCCCCACCCGAAAUUUGCAUCAUAAAUAGGCAUGUUUGCUAAAUAUACUAUAUUAAAAUUAGGGCACUUAUACGUGUGAGCUCCUCUUCUUAGAACUGUGGGAUCAGGUUGUUGACGUAGAUAAGCAAGAGCUGAUUUCAAAUACUCGUCAUUCAUCCGCUCUAAUGCUCUAUGGAUUCGCUCUACUGUAUAAUUCAGGGGUUCUGAUAGGAUAUUACCUGAUAAGGCGAUCAAUGCAGUGGUGAAGACUACAUUUCCGAAAUACCCGGAUGGGAGUGGAGGAUUCAAUUUAGAACGUCCAUUUGUAGGAAAGUGUAACUUGCUGGCUUGAUCAUCAGACAAUUCACGUGCUUUACAUACGCAUCGCCAAAUAUGUGCUGCCAGGACCUCAAGUCUAGUGUACUCGAAUGUGGAUCCACGAUUUUCUUUAGAUUUUUCCUUGAGAAUCUUGAUUUGCUCAAGUGACAGAUUCAGGAUUGCGGUACAAAUGGAUUCGGAAUUUUGAGUAGGAGUAUUCAUUGAAGGAGGUGGGUCGUAUUCAAUGUGAUGGAAUCUAGGAGAAUUUGGAACCCCAAAAUCUAGUACGGUUCGAUCAAAGAAAGGUNNN